rnacentral:sRNA from 1 species
AUCCUAAACCAUUGAGCAAUCGGUGGCAUGGUGAAUAAGUCGAGUUAAGCAUAAAGAACCCAUCAUGGGGUCGCUUAACUCGCCAUAUCGGGAAACCGGUAUGAGUGGCUUAGGCCACU